UUUUAUUUGAGAGUUUGAUCCUGGCUCAGGAUGAACGCUGGCGGCGUGCCUAACACAUGCAAGUUGAGCGAUUUACUUCGGUAAAGAGCGGCGGACGGGUGAGUAACGCGUGGGUAACCUACCCUGUACACACGGAUAACAUACCGAAAGGUAUGCUAAUACGGGAUAAUAUAUUUGAGAGGCAUCUCUUGAAUAUCAAAGGUGAGCCAGUACAGGAUGGACCCGCGUCUGAUUAGCUAGUUGGUAAGGUAACGGCUUACCAAGGCGACGAUCAGUAGCCGACCUGAGAGGGUGAUCGGCCACAUUGGAACUGAGACACGGUCCAAACUCCUACGGGAGGCAGCAGUGGGGAAUAUUGCACAAUGGGCGAAAGCCUGAUGCAGCAACGCCGCGUGA
rnacentral:rRNA from 1 species